UGCAAUGGGCGGGCCGUGAUAGGGAGACCUUCGGGUCUGCUGGUUUGGUUUGGUGCCAGUCUGUCAACCUUGUCACUGUGCCCGCUCACCACC
ncrna:Burkholderia xenovorans LB400 C4 antisense RNA